UACGUAGGGUGCAAGCGUUAAUCGGAAUUACUGGGCGUAAAGCGUGCGUAGGCGGCCUGUUAAGUCGAACGUGAAAUCCCCGGGCUCAACCCGGGAACUGCGUCCGAUACUGGCAGGCUUGAAUCCGGGAGAGGGAUGCGGAAUUCCAGGUGUAGCGGUGAAAUGCGUAGAUAUCUGGAGGAACACCGGUGGCGAAGGCGGCAUCCUGGACCGGCAUUGACGCUGAGGCGCGAAAGCCAGGGGAGCAAACGGG
rnacentral:rRNA from 1 species